ensembl:lncRNA
UGGGAAUGGGAGAAUGAGGUAAUUAGGGCAGGUGUAUUUAAGCAUGUAGAUUGGAAGCCCUAGAAUGUAGGCUUUGUCAUACCCGCCCCUCUUCCGGUGUUAUUGCAGUCUGGGUAAGUGACGGAGGUUAUGCAUGGCGUCGUGUGGUUUUAAAGUGUUUAGGGUAUGUGUCUUUGUCUUUUGAAGUGAUUGCUGUAACCGUCUUGGCAGCGUGCCCUGGGAGUUGCGUCAAGCACUUAUUGGAAGCUUUCAGGUAUGCCGGCAAUCGCAAUGAGUUGUGGUGUGGGUUAUUGUGUGUUUUAGCAGAACAUUCACGAGUGGAUCCAGAUAUUGUGAUGUGUGAUUUUUUUCGUGUGUCAUGGAAGAUGAACUGAUACAACUUAGAGACGCUGUGCUACAACUGCGAGCUGAAAACGAAUGUCUGCGCCAGGAGCCAGCGGCAACGGUGUCAACGGACUCUAUCCCGGCCCUCUGUGACAACACUGCAGCAAGGCCAUCUACAAGUAUGGCUGCAGAAGGAGAAAAUUAUUCAAGUGAUGGAAGGAGUGCGGGCGAUCACUUGCUGGCUAUCACGCAGGGAAGGAGAUCAGCGGCAGAGUAUGCACUAUCAUUUCGAACCCUCACAGCUCAAACCACCUGGGUGGAGGACACUCUAAAG